UUUCAUUUUAGUUGUAGAAAUGUCAUAACAGAACCUUUCGUAUCCAACAGAGUUUGGUGAAACGACUGCAAUUUAUAGAGUAAGUUCUUUUUGCUCACUGGAUACGUUUAUAUUUUGUUUUCAUUAUUUUUUUGUUUACGUCGGACAUUACUUGAGUUUUAUUUUAUUGAGUCUACCACGUUGAACGUGACGAUGUCCGUUCUAGUCAGGUGUCUUCUGUGAUUUUUGGUCUACAAUUUAAGAGAGAGCGCGAGAACGAGAGUGUUGACUUUUGAAUCCUUCUGGCCGACAUUUAGGCGCUAUUCCUGCGCACGCAGUAAAGAGCAUCUGUGGAGUCUACACACGUCCUGUACUCGGGAGAUAACUCUGUUCUUAAGGUAAGCACCUCUACAGAACUUUCUAGCUAACGUCAGCGCUUUCUUGAAUGUCAUUCGGGUUUAUGUAAUGUUUAAAGUUACGUUAAUUUGCUCGGUUGUUCCGUUUUGCUCUUGCAAAAAUCAGGAGUUGAACAACAACUAAGCUAGGUUAGCUAACCGUUAGCUAAGGAAAUGUAUAGCUUUCUGUGGCAAGUCGGUUAAGACACUGAGAGGCUACGUGCUUUAUUGCAAACUACAUCGUAACGAACCAAGAUGUUUACUUAAGUGCACCGAAGCUGGUUGCAAGCAUAUAUUUAACAGAUAUGAUAUAUGAUAUACGCUGAGAAGGUGCUUUGUGGUUAUAGAGGCAAGUUAUAGUUUUUUUCUUUUCUUUUCUGUUUGUUGCCCAUGGUCAACUGUUAUAUAGAAUAUUUUGAUACUGUCAGUCAGCUUUGAUGUUACAAGCUUAUAAUGUUAUAAGCUUUUUUGUUUUACGUUGAACUGGCUAAAAAAUGUGAACUGGCUUUUUGUAGCAAUUUGCAGCAAUUAUGAAUGGCUAAGUUAAUAAAACUGCCUAUGAAGAACAUCCAAGCUUUUGUUUCAGUGCUAACACUUCAGGAGGUUGAAGGCUCUUGGCAUCACUAAGAUCUAGAAUCUCUUUCAAGCGUCGCGUUCAAAUUCCUUAGUGGUCACCGACUUGGAGGGAACAACUUGCUGGCCUUUGUGAUGAGACAGCAGAAAGACAGGGACAGGGAAGAGAGAGGAGAUGACAUGCAGCAAAGGACCCGAAGUCUGGCUUGAACCCAGGUUACCAUUGCAAGGACCCAGCCCCAGAGAGGCUCUUGCUUGUCCUCAGUGGACACUGAUGACAACUCUUCAGGCAGAAGUUACAACACUCAAAGUUCCAGUUGCCCAAACAUCAUACCAUGUCGGAGAGUCUCCUAACUGUCUUCAGUCAAGUUUGGACCCAGUGACUUGGACACCAGUCUUGUAAAGCCUUAUUAGAGAAAUGAUCUACAGUAAAGACCUGAUGGACCACGUGAGACUGCAAUCAGAGCUGGUGACUUGUGAAUGCUGAGUGACUCUUUACCCUUGAUCAACCCAGGUCAAGUGGCUCAUUUUUUUGUUUAUUCAUGGACUAUCCCUCAUAUAGACACAUGAUACUUUGUGAGUAUACUUGAAAUGUUGGAUCAGUUCCAUCUUUUUUCAGAGAAUGUGUUAAUGCAAGAACAGUUUCUUCAGGUUUGUCAAUGAUACAUGUGGGCACAAUGGGCUUUAUUUGUUAUUUUGUUUAGAAUCACUAUAGGGUUUUAGACUGUUGCUGACUGUAAAUCUGUGCCAGGUAACUGUAAUUCCUCAUGUGUUAUACUGUAUCUUUUACAGUGAAAUUCUGGCAACCACAGCUGCCAGUAAUUUACCGUAAAUUUGAAAAAUAAACUGUAAUUGCUAAUAUGUUAUAUUGUAUUUUUUACGGUGAAAUUCUGGCAACCACAGCUGCCAGUAAUUUACUGUAAAAUUGGACCUAGCUGCAAUAAAGUACCGUAAUAUGU